UCUUCUCUGUCUGCCCUCCCUCUCUUCGCGGCGAACCACCGCGUGACCGCGAACCACCGCGCCCCUCCGGCUCCAGAUUCGACACCGGCUUGUCUUGUACGCUGGAACGUUGGUGCCCGACCGCCUCACACCCGCCAGCCUCACGAUCCCGCUCUUCUCUAUCUGCCCUCCCUCUCUUCGCGGCGAACCACCGCGUGACCGGCGAACUACCGCGCCCCCCCUCCAGCUCCAGAUCCGACACCGGCUUGUCUUGCACGCUGGAACGUUGGUGCCCGACCGUCUCACACCCGCCGGCAUGUUGAUCUCCAGUUCCGCUCGCAUCACGAUCCCGCCAGUGCUUUGGUUCAGGUCAAGCAUUUGGUGUUACACGUGUAAAUUUAUUAGAUGGCUGAAUCGGAGCUUGAAACUUCCCAUCUUGUACAUGUAAUGUGUGAUAUUGAAAAAGACUUUGAGUUUGCAAUUGGAAUGGUUUUUUCGAAUGAACUUGAAGCAUAUAAUAAGUAUGUGGCCUAUGCAAUUAGUAAAGGAUUUGGAGUGAGGAAGAGUAAUUUGGUUAGAAAUACUAAAGGAAAAAUAACUCAACAGACUUUUGUGUGCAAUUGUGAGGGGUAUUCAGUCAGCUCAUCCAAUGAAGAAAAGAAAUUUGAGAAGUUUGAAGUUGGAUUUAGCUGUCUCGCUCAUAUCAAGUUUAAGGUGGAUAAUAAUGAUGUCUUUGAAGUGAUAGAGUAUAAUUCUGAGCAUAAUCAUUAUGUGGUAGGCAUGCAGUUUGAGGAGAUCUACUAUUAGGAACUUGACAUUUAACUAUGCCCAAGAUUUUUCUUGGUUCCUUGUAUUCUUGUUGCCGGGUUUAAUCUCUCCAGCUUCUACAAUCUUUCAAUUAUCAAUUGAAUUUUUGGUCCUGUGUAUUGCAGCUAUUUGCUUAUGAUAUUGUCAACAAACAGUUGUUGCAUAAACCUGGGGAACAGCCAAAGCUUCCCCUUCCUGCCUCCUUAGUUGCAGGUGCCUGUGCUGGUAUGAGCUCAACAAUAUGCACAUAUCCUCUUGGAGGUAGCUCGGAAGCAUAUGCAAGUGGGAGCAGUCGGUGGUAGGCAGGUGUACAAAAACGUGGUUCAUGCUCUUGCGAGCAUACUUGAGCAGAAAGGGGUUGGAGGUCUAUAUGGAGGUUUACGCCCUAGUUGCAUGAAGUUGGUGCCUGCUGCUGGGAUAUCCUUCACGUGCUACAAAGCGUGCAAGAGGAUUCUGGUUGAGGAUGAUGAAGAGGCGUAACCACAUAUUUGACAAGAAGAAAUGCGAGGUCUUUUGCUAUGGGUCAUCUACAGAAAGAGUGGAUAAAGAUGACUAUUUUGUAUACUGCGAUUGAAUGGUUUAGUUUAUGUUUUUUUCUUUUGCUCAUAGGAUUUCUUUAGAAGAAUUCUUCAAGGAAGUUCUUGUUACCAAGGUUGGUUCUACAUGCACUCGCAAAAAUAUUCGAGGGGUUUACUUUUCUUUUGGAGUUCUGUGUGUUUCUGAAGAAGGUACUGGCAUGUUUUGAUAAUGUGAGUACUGCCUUUCAUGAGAC